rnacentral:lncRNA from 1 species
CGGAGCCUUCUCACUUGCUGGCUUCGUGGUCACAGCAGGCGGCUUUCCCUCGCUCUCUCCCUCGCUCGUGUGUUUGUUCAUUGGACCUCUCUGCUGCUGCUGGCCGGGGCUAAAUGCUGAGAUACUGAGAUGAAGAUGACAGAGACCCUGCUCUCAAAUGGCUCACGGCCAGGUCGGGGAGGCAGACAGCUAACUGACCCACUUCCUAAUGGUUCAGUCUGAACAGUUUUUUUAUCUUCUGGGGGUACAGUGAGCAUCCUAUUUGGGACCAGUUCAGAAAGUUUUGACUGUCACAAAGAAGAGUUUGCUGCGAUGGGCAGUGGGGAGCCAAGGAAGGCUCUUGAGUGGGAGAAUGGCAUGAUUAAAGAAGUUCCCUCUAAUCUGCUGUGAGGAGCAAACGUGGCAGCAGAGAGACCAGUGUGGAGGCUGUAGGUGAGGAUGGCGGUGGAGCUGGACAGAAGCGGACGAUUCAGGACAGACAGUGGAGGUGGCGGAAACACCAGGAACUCCGGAGAGACCUUCACUGAGUUCUGGCGAAACGAGAAAUGCCAAGCACAGGGCAUGUGGAACACACCACAGAGCUACCAUCAACACAAGCCAGUCCUGGGGAAAGUCUACAGAUGCUGCCACAGCAUGGCUGGGUGAGCGGCGUAUAGGUCUACACCUGGGAUCUGAACCUGCAAACCCGGCCCACUGACUCAGAGUUCCUGAACUUAACCACUAUGGCACCAGGCCAACACCAAGUUUUUACAAAGAUGGGCAAGACAAAAUAUAGUGUCUAUGGACACACACAGAGAUUAGCCCUGAGCUAACUACUGCUAAUCCUCCUCUUUUUGCUGAGGAAGCCUGGCCCUGAGCUAACAUCCGUGCCCAUCUUCCUCUACUUUAUACGUG